rnacentral:tRNA from 1 species
GAUUGUGGCUCAAUGGUAGAGCAUUUGCCUAGCAUGUGCAAGGUCCUGGAUUCAAUCCUCAGCACCA